rfam:Brachypodium distachyon strain Bd21 chromosome 3, whole genome shotgun sequence.
AUGCCAGUGAUGAAAAUCUUUAAAUCAUACCAUCUUUCGGGACUGAUUGGUUGCUAUGCAGCCAUGCUGUCAUUCUGCAAUUCUGAGGCAA